GAUCAUGGCUCAGGACGAACGCUGGCGGCGUGCCUAAUACAUGCAAGUUGAACGCUGAAGACUGGUACUUGUACUAGUUGGAUGAGUAGCGAACGGGUGAGUAACGCGUGGGUAACCUACCUCUUAGCGGGGGACAACUAUUGGAAACGAUAGCUAAUACCGCAUAACAAUCACUAACACAUGUUAGUGAUUUGAAAGCACCAAUUGGUGCACUAAGAGAUGGACCCGCGUUGUAUUAG
rnacentral:rRNA from 1 species